CCUACGGGAGGCAGCAGUGGGGAAUAUUGCACAAUGGGGGAAACCCUGAUGCAGCGACGCCGCGUGAGUGAAGAAGUAAUUCGUUAUGUAAAGCUCUAUCAGCAGGGAAGAAAAUGACGGUACCUGAGUAAGAAGCCCCGGCUAACUACGUGCCAGGCGCCGCGGUAAUACGUAGGGGGCAAGCGUUAUCCGGAUUUACUGGGUGUAAAGGGAGCGUAGACGGCAGUGCAAGUCUGGAGUGAAAGGCGGGGGCUCAACCCCCGGACUGCUCUUGAAACUGUACGGCUGGAGUGCAGGAGAGGUAAGUGGAAUUCCUAGUGGAGCGGUGAAAUGCGGAGAUAUUAGGAGGAACACCAGUGGCGAAGGCGGCUUACUGGACUGUAACUGACGUUGAGGCUCGAAAGCGUGGGGAGCAAACAGGAUUAGAUACCCUUGUAGUC
rnacentral:rRNA from 1 species